ensembl:lncRNA
CAGACACCUACUAUAUACCCCUUGAUCUUACACAUCUAUGGCCUCCAGAAUUAUUAGUGUAACCAGAGUGGCUUCUUUCACUUAAUAAAUCUGAGAAGUGAUAGGACUCCCCCAGGAGCCCAAGGUGACAGAGAGCCUGAGCUUGGAUUCACAAAAAGUAACAUCAAAUACCUUGACCCGAGUGAUUUAUCUCUUAAAAGCAGAACACUUGAAGUGAUAUUGAAAGAAGUGGGAGUCAUGCCUGGCUAUAAGGGGACUCAGAGUAGCUGGUUUCAAAUAAUUCAAGGAAAGGUAAUGCUAUGUUUGGAUUGUCUCGCAGGCAUAGAAG